GAUGACGCCGGCGGUGUGCCUAAUACAUGCAAGUCGAGCGCACUGGCCCAACAGAAAUGACGUGCUUGCACUGAUUUGACGUUGGAUUCCCAGUGAGCGGCGGACGGGUGAGUAACACGUGGGCAACCUGCCCCAAAGCGGGGGAUAACAUUUGGAAACAGGUGCUAAUACCGCAUAACUUGGAAAACCACAUGGUUUUCCAAUAAAAGAUGGUUUCGGCUAUCACUUUGGGAUGGGCCCGCGGUGCAUUAGCUAGUUGGUAAGGUAACGGCUUACCAAUGCGAUGAUGCAUAGCCGAGUUGAGAGACUGAUCGGCCACAAUGGAACUGAGACACGGUCCAUACUCCUACGGGAGGCAGCAGUAGGGAAUCUUCCACAAUGGGCGCAAGCCUGAUGGAGCAACACCGCGUGAGUGAAGAAGGGUUUCGGCUCGUAAAACUCUGUUGUUGGAGAAGAACGUGCGUAAGAGUAA
rnacentral:rRNA from 1 species